AACGAACGCUGGCGGCAGGCCUAACACAUGCAAGUCGAACGGAUCCUACGGGAUUAGUGGCGGACGGGUGAGUAACGCGUGGGAACAUAUCCAAAGGUAAGGAAUAGCCUCGGGAAACUGGGAGUAAUACCGUAUGUGCUCGAAAGAGGAAAGAUUUAUCGCCUUUGGAUUGGCCCGCGUUGGAUUAGGUAGUUGGUGGGGUAAUGGCCUACCAAGCCGACGAUCCAUAGCUGGUUUGAGAGGAUGAUCAGCCACACUGGGACUGAGACACGGCCCAGACUCCUACGGGAGGCAGCAGUGGGGAAUCUUAGACAAUGGGGGAAACCCUGAUCUAGCCAUGCCGCGUGAUCGAUGAAGGCCUUAGGGUCGUAAAGAUCUUUCAGGUGGGAAGAUAAUGACUGUACCACCAGAAGAAGCCCCGGCUAACUCCGUGCCAGCCGCCGCGGUAA
rnacentral:rRNA from 1 species